AGUGAACGCUGGCGGCGUGCUUAACACAUGCAAGUCGAACGAGAACGGAUUAUAGCUUGCUAUAAUUGUCAGCUAAGUGGCGCACGGGGGAGUAAUGUAUAGGUAAUAUGCCUCUUACUAAGGGAUAACAAAUGGAAACGUUUGCUAAUACCUUAUACUCCUUAUUAACAUAAGUUAAUAAGGGAAAGAUUUAUUGGUAAGAGAUUAGCCUGUAUUGUAUCAGUUAGUUGGUGGGGUAAUGGCUUACCAAGACUAUGACACAUAACUGGUUUGAGAGGAUGAACAUGCACACUGUAACUGAGACACGGUCCAGACUCAUACGGGAGGCAGCAGUGGGGAAUAUUGCACAAUGGACGAAAGUCUGAUGCAGCAACGCCGCGUGGAGGAUGACACAUUUCGGUGCGUAAACUCCUUUUAUAUGAGAAGAUAAUGACGGUAUUAUAUGAAUAAGCACCGGCUAACCCCGUGCCAGCCGCCGCCGUAA
rnacentral:rRNA from 1 species